AGGGCCAUAGCUCAGUGGUAGAGCGUCUGAAUUGUAUGCAGAAGGUUGUGGGUUCAAUCCCCAACAUCUCUA